GCCAUCUUGGGCGAGCGGUCGGGGCGUGAGUGCGGGCUGCGGGUUGUGGGCUGGCGGCGUCCCCGCGCGCGUCCUUCCCGACCCCGGUUCCGUGCACGGACAUCGACACGCAGGUCGAGCUCUAGGCCGGGUCCGGGGAGGCACGCGCUGAGAUGAUGCUGAGAGGAAAUCUGAAGCAAGUGCGCAUCGAGAAGAACCCGGCGCGCCUCCGCGCUCUAGAGUCGGCGGCCGGCGAGGGCGAGCCGGCGGCCAUGGCGCUCGCCCUUCCCGGCGAGCCGCCCGCGCCCGCCGUGCCCGCCGAGGACCGGCCGGCCGAGGAGGGCGGCUUCACCAUCGACAUCAAGAGCUUCCUUAAGCCGGGCGAGAAGACGUACACGCAGCGCUGCCGCCUCUUCGUGGGGAACCUGCCCACGGACAUCACCGAGGAUGAUUUCAAGCGGCUGUUCGAGCGCUACGGCGAGCCCAGCGAGGUGUUCAUCAACCGCGACCGCGGAUUCGGCUUCAUCCGCCUGGAGUCCAGAACACUGGCUGAAAUUGCAAAAGCAGAGCUGGAUGGCACCAUUUUGAAGAGCAGACCUCUCCGAAUUCGUUUUGCUACACAUGGAGCAGCCUUAAGUGUCAAGAACCUCUCUCCAGUUGUCUCCAAUGAGCUUCUAGAGCAAGCAUUUUCCCAGUUUGGUCCAGUAGAGAAAGCUGUGGUGGUCGUGGAUGACCGUGGUAGAGCUACGGGAAAAGGCUUUGUGGAAUUCGCAGCAAAACCUCCUGCACGAAAGGCUCUGGAGAGAUGUGGUGAUGGGGCAUUCUUGCUAACAACGACCCCUCGUCCAGUCAUUGUGGAGCCCAUGGAGCAGUUUGAUGAUGAAGAUGGCUUGCCAGAGAAGCUAAUGCAGAAAACUCAGCAGUAUCAUAAGGAAAGAGAACAGCCGCCGCGUUUUGCUCAGCCUGGGACGUUUGAAUUUGAGUAUGCAUCUCGAUGGAAGGCUCUGGAUGAAAUGGAGAAGCAGCAGCGCGAGCAGGUUGAUAGAAACAUCCGAGAAGCCAAAGAGAAGCUGGAGGCGGAGAUGGAAGCGGCCCGGCACGAGCACCAGCUCAUGCUCAUGCGGCAAGAUUUAAUGAGGCGUCAAGAGGAACUCAGACGCUUAGAAGAACUCAGAAACCAAGAGCUGCAAAAACGGAAGCAAAUACAACUGAGGCAUGAAGAAGAGCACCGUCGUCGCGAAGAGGAAAUGAUCCGACACAGAGAACAGGAGGAGCUGAGGCGACAGCAGGAAGGCUUUAAGCCAAACUAUAUGGAAAACGAGAAAAGAAAACAUGGUUGAAGCUACGUGAGAUUUGGCUUCUGGGGUGAAGCGAAGUCGAGCCAGGAAAUGCUGGAGCCUCCCUUCAGCUGUGGUCCUGGGAACCAGGAGCAUCAGCCUUUCCCGAGAGCUGCUCGCAAGAUGACAAUCUCGGCACACACAGGCUGAUCGAGUCAGACCGCCCAGGUCCACACGGUUCCAGGGGAUUUGCGUCCACACUGAGGGAGAAGCACUGACAGAUACCAUGCCGUUGGGAAAUGUCACCUUUUCAAAGUAUCUGACGUCUCACGGGCACAAAAAUGUGACCGCUGUUUCUCACGCUAUUAUCCAGCUCUAGAAAAUCAACGUUGGGUCGUGGUUCUCAAAGCUGGUCCGUGGGUCCACACCGCUGUCUCCUGGAAACUUGUUGAAGAUGCUCAUUCCCAGAUCUGCAAACGUCCGAUUCUCAAGCUGCUGCUCUGGCGACUUGCUAAUCAACCUUCCCUGUGCCAAGUCAGCGUGUACCUCCUACUACACUUUAAUAGAGUAAGUUUGAUUUCUACGUAUAUCAUGCCAUACGAUAACAGCUUUUUUGUGGGGUGGGGGACACGAGGCUUCCUUUCCAAUGCUCACGUUUUUCAUUUUCUUCCUCUUACUGUGCUGGGUGGACCUUAAUAUAAUUUGAAUGAAAGCUGGGAUAGAAGGCACCCUUGUAUUUUUUUUUGGCUGCACCAUGCAGGACCUUAGAACCCCGAGCAGGGACUGAACCUGUGCCCAUUGCAGUGGAGGCGUGGGAGACCAAACCACUGGACCGCCAGGGAACACCCACCUUGAUCAUAAGAGGUUAUGUGUUUACAAGGGGCUGGAUUCAAUCUGCUCCUGUUUCACUUGAGUUUCCACAUCUGAGCUCGUAAGUGGGGCACGCCCUGUCCUUUCCCCUUCUUGGACAGUUCCGUCUGGUUUGGGCACUGAAGUGAUGGUGGGCUCCCAGAACCCACCUGCUUUCGGGAAGACUUCUUUGUAAGUUUGAUGAACUCUUGCAUAUGAAACCAUCUGUGACUGGCGUUAAAUUUGUAAGACUAUUUUAAAUUACUAUUUCACAUUCUUUAAUAGUAAUAAGACUAUCCAAUUUUUGUAUUUCUGUUUGGGUCAGUUUUGUUAAACUGUAUCUUUCCAGGAAUUUCCCAUUUCAAUCAGUUUUCAAAUCUAUGGUAAGAAAAUGCUCAUAGAACUUUUAUCUUUUUAAUCUGGAUGCCAUCUACAAUCACGUCUCCUUUUUCCCUGGAAAUACUGUUUAAGUCUUCAUUCUUUUUUCCCUUAACCAACGGUGCCCCAGGCUGCUCUAUUCUAUUAGUCUUUCAAUGAACCAGCUUCUGGGCUUUACCAAAGCUCCACUGUGGGAGAAGGUCCGAG